rnacentral:misc_RNA from 1 species
AACGCACAUUGCGCCCCUUGGUAUUCCGGGGGGCAUGCCUGUUCGAGCGUCAUUGUAAAAUCUCAAGCUUAGCUUGGUAUUGGGCUUUUGUCUUCCUUUCCUCCUUUGAGUGAGACUGACGUGCCUGAAAAUUAGUGGCAGUGCCUCAAUGGCCUCAAGCGUAGUAGACACUAUCUCGCUUUGGAGGGUUGUUGUGGGUCCACUCAGCCUUUAUAUAAAAGCUUUAGAAAAGGUUUGACCUCGGAUCAGGUAGGGAUACCCGCUGAACUUAA